CCUACGGGAGGCUGCAGUGAGGAAUAUUGGUCAAUGGCCGGAAGGCUGAACCAGCCAUGCCGCGUGAAGGUCAGUGCCCUAUGGGCGUUAAACUUCUUUUGUGCGGGAGCAAUAAUGGUCACGUGUGGCCAGACGAGAGUACCGUACGAAUAAGCAUCGGCUAACUCCGUGCCAGCAGCCGCGGUAAUACAGGGGGUGCAAGCGUUAUACGGAUUUAUUGGGUUUAAAGGGUGCGUAGGCUGUGAGGUAAGGCAGCGGUGAAAUGCCCCCGCUCAACGGGGUGAAGUGCCAUUGAUACUGGCUUGCUGGAAUGCGGAUGCCGUGGGAGGAAUGUGUGGUGUAGCGGUGACAUGCAUAGAUAUCACACAGAACACCGAUUGCGAAGGCAUCUCACGAAUCCGCGAUUGACGCUGAUGCACGAAAGCGUGGGUAUCAAACAGGAUUAGAUACCCCUGUAGUC
rnacentral:rRNA from 1 species